GGCGAAGUUACUCUGUUGGUUAGGGGUAACCAGGUUUUCACCCUGGGUAGGACGCGGGUUCGAUUCCCGUCUUCGUCAC
rnacentral:tRNA from 1 species